rnacentral:rRNA from 1 species
CGCUGGCGGCGUGCCUAAUACAUGCAAGUCGAACGCACUCUCGUUUAGAUUGAAGGAGCUUGCUCCUAAUUGAUAAACAUUUGAGUGAGUGGCGGACGGGUGAGUAACACGUGGGUAACCUGCCCUAAAGUGGGGGAUAAACAUUUGGAAACAGAUGCUAAUACCGCAUAAAACCUAACACCGCAUGGUGUAGGGUUGAAAGAUGGUUUCGGCUAUCACUUUAGGAUGGACCCGCGGUGCAUUAGUUAGUUGGUGAGGUAAAGGCUCACCAAGACCGUGACGCAUAGCCGACCUGAGAGGGUAAUCGGCCACACUGGGACUGAGACACGGCCCAGACUCCUACGGGAGGCAGCAGUAGGGAAUCUUCCACAAUGGACGAAAGUCUGAUGGAGCAACGCCGCGUGAGUGGAGAAGGUUUUCGGAUCGUAAAACUCUGUUGUUGGAGAAGAAUGUAUCUGAUAGUAACUGAUCAGGUAGUGACGGUAUCCAAUCAGAAAGCCACGGCUAACUACGUG